GCUACCACAUCCAAGGAAGGCAGCAGGCGCGCAAAUUACCCACUCCCGGCACGGGGAGGUAGUGACGAAAAAUAACGAUACGGGACUCAUCCGAGGCCCCGUAAUCGGAAUGAGUACACUCUAAACCCUUUAACGAGGAUCAAUUGGAGGGCAAGUCUGGUGCCAGCAGCCGCGGUAAUUCCAGCUCCAAUAGCGUAUAUUAAAGUUGUUGCGGUUAAAAAGCUCGUAGUCGAAUUUGUGUCCCGCGCCGCCGGUUCAUCGUCCGCGGUGUUAACUGGCGUGUCGCGGGACGUCCUGCCGGUGGGCUUAGCUCUACGGGGCGGCCCAACUCAAUCCCGCCGCGGUGCUCUUCACUGAGUGUCGAGGUGGGCCGGCACGUUUACUUUGAACAAAUUAGAGUGCUUAAAGCAGGCUAAAACUUCGCCUGAAUACUGUGUGCAUGGAAUAAUGGAAUAGGACCUCGGUUCUAUUUUGUUGGUUUUCGGAACCCCGAGGUAAUGAUUAAUAGGAACGGAUGGGGGCAUUCGUAUUGCGACGUUAGAGGUGAAAUUCUUGGACCGUCGCAAGACGAACAGAAGCGAAAGCAUUUGCCAAAAACGCUUUCAUUGAUCAAGAACGAAAGUUAGAGGUUCGAAGGCGAUCAGAUACCGCCCUAGUUCUAACCAUAAACGAUGCCAGCUAGCGAUCCGCCGACGUUCCAUUAUAUGACUCGGCGGGCAGCUUCCGGGAAACCAAAGCUUUUGGGUUCCGGGGGAAGUAUGGUUGCAAAGCUGAAACUUAAAGGAAUUGACGGAAGGGCACCACCAGGAGUGGAGCCUGCGGCUUAAUUUGACUCAACACGGGAAACCUCACCAGGCCCGGACACCGGAAGGAUUGACAGAUUGAGAGCUCUUUCUUGAUUCGGUGGGUGGUGGUGCAUGGCCGUUCUUAGUUGGUGGAGCGAUUKGUCUGGUUAAUUCCGAUAACGAGCGAGACUCUAGCCUGCUAACUAGGCGUAUUUCGACAUCCCAAAGGCCCGGCGCCGCGCGGUUCGCCGCGCGUGCGUUUGCGGUUUUUACUGUCGGCGUACAAACAAUUCUUCUUAGAGGGACAGGCGGCUUCUAGCCGCACGAGAUUGAGCAAUAACAGGUCUGUGAUGCCCUUAGAUGUUCUGGGCCGCACGCGCGCUACACUGAAGGAAUCAGCGUGUCCUCCCUGGCCGAAAGGCCCGGGUAACCCGCUGAACCUCCUUCGUGCUAGGGAUUGGGGCUUGCAAUUGUUCCCCAUGAACGAGGAAUUCCCAGUAAGCGCGAGUCAUAAGCUCGCGUUGAUUACGUCCCUGCCCUUUGUACACACCGCCCGUCGCUACUACCGAUUGAAUGAUU
rnacentral:rRNA from 1 species